CUACUACGUAUGUAACCGGUCGGAGAAAUCUUGAAUCUAAACGUACCGGUCUUCUGUAGCCAAAAAUGAAGCUUAUAGCAGCAUUCCUUCACAAAAAAAGUAGCUGUGUAGCUUCCAGGCCAUACAGGUGCUUCAGAUGAAAGAAAUGGUAUCUGAUGCUUGGGGACAAGCAUGCGGUUUUGCAGCUCAAGAAGCCUUCUUACCAGCUUGCUCAUGUUGUGCUGUCCUGGUGUUGAAAGGAGAAGUUUUCAUGAUAGUCGCUUGG
rnacentral:lncRNA from 1 species